rnacentral:rRNA from 1 species
UGAACCUGCGGAGGGAUCAUUGCUGGAACAAACGCCCUCACGGGUGCUACCCAGAAACCCUUUGUGAAUUAUACUUAAUCGUUGCCUCGGCAUUGGUUGACUUCGAAUGGAGUCCCUUAGUCUGUAUUUUCUAAGGAGCCGACCGGCCGACGGCCCCUAUAAACUCUUUGUUUUUAUAUUAUCUUCUGAGUAAAACAACUAAAAUGAAUCAAAACUUUCAACAACGGAUCUCUUGGUUCUGGCAUCGAUGAAGAACGCAGCGAAAUGCGAUAAGUAAUGUGAAUUGCAGAAUUCAGUGAAUCAUCGAAUCUUUGAACGCACAUUGCGCCCGGUGGCAUUCCACCGGGCAUGCCUGUUCGAGCGUCAUUUCAACCCUCAAAAGCUUGCUUUUGGUGUUGGAGGAAUACCUGUAAAAGGGUACCCUCUGAAAUUUAGUGGCGGGCUCGCUAGAAUUUUGAGCGUAGUAAUUUUACCUCGUUUUUAAAGACUAGUGGGACUUCUUGCCGUAAAACCCCCCAACUUUCUGAAAUUUGACCUCGGAUCAGGUAGGAAUACCCGCUGAACUUAAGCAUAU